GACAGAGGGUGCAACCGUUGUUCGGAAUUACUGGGCGUAAAGCGCGUGUAGGCUGUCUCGCAAGUCGGGUGUGAAAGCCCUGGGCUCAACCUAGGAAGUGCACUCGAAACUGCGAGACUUGAGUCCUGGAGAGGAAGGCGGAAUUCUCGGUGUAGAGGUGAAAUUCGUAGAUAUCGAGAGGAACACCGGUGGCGAAGGCGGCCUUCUGGACAGUGACUGACGCUGAGACGCGAAAGCGUGGGGAGCAAACAGG
rnacentral:rRNA from 1 species